UACGUAGGGUGCGAGCGUUGUCCGGAAUCACUGGGCGUAAAGCGCACGCAGGCGGAUCGAUAAGUCGGGGGUGAAAGCCCGGGGCUCAACCUCGGAAUUGCCUUCGAUACUGUCGGUCUCGAGUCCGGGAGAGGUGAGUGGAAUUCCUAGUGUAGAGGUGAAAUUCGUAGAUAUUAGGAAGAACACCAGUGGCGAAGGCGGCUCACUGGCCCGGUACUGACGCUCAGGUGCGAAAGCGUGGGGAGCAAACAGG
rnacentral:rRNA from 1 species